rnacentral:lncRNA from 1 species
CAAGGGCUUACAACCAAUUGAUAGCUGGCUAACAUUUAGCCUUUCCCAAUGAUUUCCACAGGUUUCGUGUGACUGGAUCCUCAUCUAGAUCAUAGAAGAAAAUCCAAGCAAUAGGGUCCUGACUUCCAGUGGAACGGGAAGAAACAGGCCAGCUGGAGUCUCUAGGGCACGGUUGGAAGUCACAGCCAGAGCCUCAUCAUCAAGAGCAAGGCUGACGUGGGUCAUACAACAAAUGAAGAACCCCACAGGACUGAUGGAUGCCGCUCUGAGAGCCCAAGGGUCUGCCACAGGCCUGCUGUGACAAAGCAAGGGGACCCCACGGUGAAGGCUGCAGCACAUGGCCAGGCCCGGAGCUGAGGGAAACAGCAGAAACCCAGGGUCUGUCUGCAGCUCACUCGAAGAGGAGCAGAGAUGGGGAGCAGGAAACGCAGGUUUCUGCAGGUCAGAAGUCCAGGCCCAACCGAGCCAGGUCCUCUGCUCAGAGUUUCACAAAACUGAAGAAAGCUGUUGGCCAGGCUGCGCCCCUGCCUGGGGCUCAGGGCCCUCCCCAAGCUACGAGGCUGUUGGCAAAAUCCAGUUCCUGUGGUUGUGGGACUGAGGCCCCAGUGCCCUUGCUGGCCGUCAGCCGGGACGGCUCUCGGCUUCUAGAGGCAUCAUCUGGAGUCGAGGCGGCAUCUUUCAGCACCUCGUAUCCUCGGAAGCAAGAAGCACCCGGGGCUCAGAGAGCAGCGGCCUCAUUGUCCCUGUGUCUUGGGGUUUUUUUCUGGUUGGGUUGGAGAGGCCCGAGAAGAGCAAAGUCACAAUAAAAACCUUUCUCUUGACCAAAGAUUUGGCAGCUCUAGUUUGUCCUGUAUUUUCC